UCAGGCCUAACACAUGCAAGUCGAACGGCAGCAUAGGAGCUUGCUCCUGAUGGCGAGUGGCGAACGGGUGAGUAAUAUAUCGGAACGUGCCCUAGAGUGGGGGAUAACUAGUCGAAAGACUAGCUAAUACCGCAUACGAUCUACGGAUGAAAGUGGGGGAUCGCAAGACCUCAUGCUCCUGGAGCGGCCGAUAUCUGAUUAGCUAGUUGGUGGGGUAAAAGCCUACCAAGGCGACGAUCAGUAGCUGGUCUGAGAGGACGACCAGCCACACUGGGACUGAGACACGGCCCAGACUCCUACGGGAGGCAGCAGUGGGGAAUUUUGGACAAUGGGGGCAACCCUGAUCCAGCAAUGCCGCGUGAGUGAAGAAGGCCUUCGGGUUGUAAAGCUCUUUUGUCAGGGAAGAAACAGUAGUAGCUAAUAUCUAUUACUAAUGACGGUACCUGAAGAAUAAGCACCGGCUAACUACGUGCCAGCAGCCGCGGUAAUACGUAGGGUGCAAGCGUUAAUCGGAAUUACUGGGCGUAAAGCGUGCGCAGGCGGUUGUGUAAGUCAGAUGUGAAAUCCCCGGGCUCAACCUGGGAAUUGCAUUUGAGACUGCACGGCUAGAGUGUGUCAGAGGGGGGUAGAAUUCCACGUGUAGCAGUGAA
rnacentral:rRNA from 1 species